rnacentral:lncRNA from 1 species
AUGCAUCCCAAGGAUCUCUGAGCAUGAGCCAGGGUGGCCCAGGGGCUCACAGGAAUUCCCCUUCUGCUCUGAGCCCACCAGAGCUGGCUAUACAAUGAUAACUUCACCCCCCUCGCCCCCCAUGGGCAGCACCUGCUCCCUGGGUCUCCCCUGGUGGCCCUAUUAUCCCGCACCUGCUGCUUCCCCACCUGCUCCCUAUUCUUAGCCCCCUCCCCAUAGCACACCCUGUUCAUCACUAGGCCCAGCUGCCUGCUCUGACAGCCAGCCAGGAAGGGGUAAUAGAACCAGGAGAGGUAGCAUGGAGGGCCCAAGGACAGAGGGUCCAGAGGCCAGUCCAGCUCUGUUUGACUAGUAGUGUGUAUGCUUACAAUGGACUCCAUCUCAGGGCCUCAGUCUCCCCACCUGUGAAGUAGGAACCGCAAGCCCUGACCUCAACUUUCUACAAAAACUUUACUGCUUGGAAGAUCUUAGGCCAUCGUGUUUCAAGAUCUGAGUUACAGAGGACAACCAGUUCCCAGAUGUGAGCUCUCAGCUAUUCCUGCCAUCAUGCCUGCUGCUUGCUGCUGUGAUUCCCAACUGUAACGGGGAUGGAGUCCUAUCCCCCUAGAACCAUUAGUCCAACAUAAAUCCUUCUGCACGUUUUCUU